GCGACUGCGCGGCGUCCUCGGAGGCAGCUGUAGCUGGGAGGAUGUAGCUCUCGGAGGAUGCUACGACGCGGGGCGUGUCGCCCCCCUCAGUCCACCAGAGCCCGGAUGCCUCAGAAAUUCGGCUCUGGGUCUGUGGGGAGCGAAAUGCAGCCCAAACCCCGAUUUUCCGCACCCUGCGCAAAUAAGCACGCACAAGCACACACAGUCGUCGCCACGGCCCGCGCUCGCAGUGGCGUUCCCGGCCGCGGGUAGGCCAGGGCCGCGAGGGAAGAGCCCGGGGCCUCAGAGGGUUUGCUGCCUACGCCUCGCAGCCCGAGGGGCCGCCGUCCGGCAUCGGCCGCUCAAAGGCGCGACGUCAGUGCCCGGCGUCACCGGCCCGGCUUAACGGCGCAACGGCCGGCCUGGGCCUGCGUCUGUGGGGCUCGGGUCGGGCGGGAGCGGUCGCCGGAGAGACCUGCUCCACCUCACACAUCUGGAUCCCAAGAAGGGAAAGGGAAGAAGUCAGCAGUUUCUGCCAGUGUUGCUGAAACAGAAUGAAUGUAUGAAUUUGAUGGAAAGUAAUAAAAAUUGAAUAAAGGACUUGUGGAGCAACAGUGUUAACCCAGAUGACUCUAUUUCUUUUCUACCAUUGAAAAUGGUCAAGGAACACUUCCAAAGACAUUUGUAUUAAAUAGUAUUCUUCACUACAUGAUAGCUAAAAUUCAUAUGAUUUUUCCCCCCAGAAUACAGGAUUGGCUACACUAUGGAUGACAGACUAGAAGGAAGAGCAGACCUAGAGGCAGAAGACUAUUAUAGUAAUCCAGAGAUAAGUGACAAAAAUGGCAGUCAAGAAUGAAAUGAACUUCAGGAGGAUGAAUCAACUGGACUUUCAUCUAAAAACUAAAUUUUAAACUAUUUUUAGAAUUUGCCUGAGGAUACUCCUGUAUCUUGAAAAGAGGAAGGGAUUGGUACAAAUGACUCCCUCUUUCUCUCUCCAUCCUGCAUGGACUCUUGCUCUUAAGCUAGUACUAUUCAUAUGUUUAUAUAUUGAACCUUAUAGGUUUACAAAGUUUUAGAGAGCUGACCUGGAAACUUAUCUACCAUUUGUAACACCAUCUUGCUAUAUGGGAACCCAUUAUAAGCUAGUGGCUAUCUGAAUUGGGUUCUGGUCAUUAUUACAUGGCCUACACAGAUAAGUCCACAUAUUAGGUAUGCACAUUGUAAAUAUCCAUCUAUUUUAAGAGUAAAAAGAAAGAUCACUACAGUGCUUUCCAAACUAAAAUCCACACAUCACCACUAUUCUAUUUGCU